UCGCAGAGGUGCGGACCGACUGAUUGCGGACGCCGGCUGGAUGGACGGCGCCACCUACGCGCAUCGACGGAUUGACCCGCAGCAAGAGACAGCCGGGGGUCCAGGGGCCCAGUAAAGGAGGCUGAGCUCCUCCCAGCUCCUCAGAGCCUCCACUGUAUGGAUCUGGAUUCUUGGAUUCGGCUUCUUCCCUGGGCACCUUCUUCAGGAAGAUUUUGAGAAUUGACCCUCCCACUCUCAGCACCCUCCUUAGGGAAUCCUUCACAAUGGCAAGGGGCUGGGUUCUGGGGGAACUUGCUGAUACUAUGAAUUUCUUUAUAUAUGCCACAUUACUUAGGCUUAUACUGUAUACUUUGAGAUGUUAUACAGGUCCCUGAGAUGCGAUCAGAUUAUUUAAGAGUGCAGCACGCAUAGCCAAUGGGAAAAUGAAAAAUAUUUCUUUUAAAGAUCUAGUUAUAGUUCUUAAACAAGUCAUGGUGCGGCUGGGGUCCACAUUUUGGUAGAUGCCAUUGCUUCAAAGUGUAACAGCACUGGGAGGCCUGUUGGAGGGAAAACAUUGGUCUGAGGAAUCCCUCAGUUUCUCUCAUCCACUGCCCUUGUUCUCCCCAUGUAGGAGCAUGUCUGUGGCCCCUCAAAAAAGACAAUCAACUGCUAGCUCUUGGGGGAGACACCUUUUUCUCAGGAAGAGGUGGUGGCAACAUAAAACUCCUAAGCAAAGUUUUAAAUGAAAAAAUGAAACACAUUUAUUCAAAUAUCCUGAUAGUAGAAGGAAGGGGACAUAUUUGCAUAUAACCAGAACUCAUAGAAUUCCGAAAAGUGAAUGUGUAUUGAGUUAGUCCUCUGACUUAUAUAUUCAGAAAGAAUAAAGUUCAAUAAUGUGAGUCAAA